rnacentral:lncRNA from 1 species
ACUCGCCGAUUCAAGUGGGCGGUUCCCCAAUUCUGGCUCCUUCCCGCGCUCUCGCUGCUCCUCUCCCUAAAUGCCAGUGCUUUCCGGGUCUCCGUCCUCUACCGCUACGGCGCGGGAGCGGGAGAUCAUGAAAAGUUUCUCCUUGUUUGUAAAGUGCCUCUGCGCGGGCGGAGGGGGCUGGGCCGCGGGGCGCCCCCGGCCGGGGCCCCCCCCGGGGCUCCCCCCGGGGCUCUGCGGCGCACCCGGGGCCGCGGCGGCCUCGCAGUCUGCGCUCGGACGGGCCGCCGCUCGCGGGGCCGACUCUGCAGAGGGGCCGGCCUCCCGCGGGCCGGCGGGGCCCUUCUGGCAGCGGGGCGCGCCGGCCGACCCCGACCCCGACCCCGACCCGGACCCCGAGCUCGGCGAGGCCGGCCCGGCGGGGGGCGGGGAGCGGGAGGCAGCUCGCGCCAGAGGGCUCGGGUCCAGCUCCGCGCCGUGCGGGGCGGGGGGCGGCUCGGGGGACGGCGGCGCCCGGUAGUCCGGGAGCCCGCUGGUGCUGCGGCGCCGCACGGCCGCGUACCUGCCGGUCCUGGGCAGGCGGCCGCCCUGCCCCCUGGCGGCGCGCGCUGCCGCCGCCACCGCCACCGCCGCCGCCGCCGCCGCCGCCGCCGCCGCGCCCUCGGGCUCCCCCAGCUCUCCCGGCGCCCAGCGCGUGCCGCCCGGGCCGCCGCGGAGGUCGGUGAGGCUCAGGUCGGGCUCGCCCCGCGGGAUCUCCCGAGAGCCACGUUCCCCGGGCGGCCUGUGCCAGCUGCAGCUCGCGCCCUCCCCGCCCGCGUCGGCGUCCCCGUCCGCGUCCCCGUCCGCGUCCCCGUCGCGGUCCCCGUGCAAGGGCAGGAGCGCGAAGGCGCUCAGCGAGGAGUCCACGAGGGAGCUGGCGGUGCUCUGGCGCCCCCAGCUCUCGGGUGGGCUGCAGGGCGCCGGGCUGCCGCCCCUGCUGGCGGGCGCGGCGGCGGUGGCGGCGGCGGCGGCGGCGGCGGCGGCGGCGGCGGCGGCGGCGGCGGCGGCCCGGCGACGGCCGGCCGCGCCCGAGCGCUCGCGGUAGAUGCUGUACACCGCCUCCGCCAGGCUCGGGGGCUCCCGCGGGCAGCGCGGGGACGAGGCCAGGUCGGGCGGGGACGCGGCGCCCUUGGCCCCGCCGCCGCCGCCGCCGCCCACCGGGCCCGGGGGGGCCACGAGCCCCGGGCCAGCACCGCCGCCGCCCCGAAGGCGUCCCCCGCGCAGCCGCCGCCGCCGCCGCCGCCGCCGCCGCCGCCGCCGCCGCCGCCCCCGGGCUUCAGCUCCAGGCCCCGCGACUGCACGUAG